rnacentral:misc_RNA from 1 species
AAGGAGUCUAACAUGUAUGCGAGUCUGCGGGUCCAAAAACCCAUAGGCGUAAUGAAAGUGAAUAUAAGGUGCGAAGCGCAAGCAGCAGCACCGACCGAUCUGGAUCUUCUGUGAUGGAUUUGAGUAAGAGCAUACAUGUUGGGACCCGAAAGAUGGUGAACUAGGCCUGAAUAGGGUGAAGCCAGGGGAAACUCUGGUGGAGGCUCGUAGCGAUUCUGACGUGCAAAUCGUUCGUCAAACUUGGGUAUAGGGGCGAAAGACUAAUCGAACCAUCUAGUAGCUGGUUCCUGC